rnacentral:misc_RNA from 1 species
GAACUGCAGUACGUCACGUGAAUUGCAGAAUUCCGCGAAUCGUCGAAUCUUUGAACGCACAUUGCGCUCUGGGGUUCCAAACCUAGAGCAUACCCGUUUGAGCGUCGCAAAAAACAAAACUAACGCAAGGCUUCAUUGCCUGUGUUGAGUCGACUUUCCAAGAGUGGGUCUGACUGACUCUCUUUUGGUUUGUUGAGAUUGAAUGAAUCAAAGAGGAUGUGUACUCUUUCAUAUCGAAAGCGCUCUGCUCUUGUGUGUGUGUUAGAGAUGCAACAUCCAUUCUCAAGCUUUGAUUCGCUCGCAUAAGCUUUUGAUCAAAAAUUCGACCUCAAAUCGGGUAAGGCCACCCGCUGAAUUUAA